rnacentral:rRNA from 1 species
AGAGUUUGAUCAUGGCUCAGGAUGAACGCUGGCGGCGUGCCUAACACAUGCAAGUCGAACGGUAACAUGCACUGUAGCAAUACAGUGUGAUGACGAGUGGCGGACGGGUGCGAAACACGUAAACAAUCUGCCCUAGAGACGGGAAUAACCUUGAGAAAUCAGGGCUAAUGCCCGAUACGAUCCAGAGGUCGCAUGAUCUUYGGAGGAAAUCCCGCAAGGGGCUCUUGGAUGAGUUUGCGUCUGAUUAGCUAGUUGGCGGGGUAAUGRCCCACCAAGGCGACGAUCAGUAGCUGGUCUGAGAGGACGGACAGCCACACUGGGACUGAGAUACGGCCCAGACUCCUACGGGAGGCAGCAGUGGGGAAUAUUGCUCAAUGGGCGAAAGCCUGAAGCAGCGACGCCGCGUGAAUGAUGAAGUCCUUCGGGAUGUAAAGUUCUUUCGUCGGGGACAAUUAUGAUGGUACCCGAAUAAGAAGGACCGGCUAACUAUGUGCCAGCAGCCGCGGUAAUACAUAGGGUCCAAGCGUUAUCCGGAUUUAUUGGGCGUAAAGCGCGCGUAGGUGGUCGAUUAAGUCGGGUGUUAAAUUUGGAAGCUCAACUUCCAUACGCGCCCGAGACUGGUUGGCUUUGAGGUUGGAAGAGGGAAGUGGAACUCACAGUGUAGCGGUGAAAUGCGUAGAUAUUGUGAGGAACACCAGUGGCGAAGGCGACUUCCUGGUCCAAAUCUGACGCUAAAGCGCGAAAGCAUGGGGAGCAAACAGGAUUAGAUACCCUGGUAGUCC